UACGAAGGGGGCUAGCGUUGUUCGGAAUUACUGGGCGUAAAGCGCACGUAGGCGGAUAUUUAAGUCAGGGGUGAAAUCCCAGAGCCCAACUCUGGAACUGCCUUUGAUACUGGGUAUCUUGAGUAUGGAAGAGGUGAGUGGAAUUCCGAGUGUAGAGGUGAAAUUCGUAGAUAUUCGGAGGAACACCAGUGGCGAAGGCGGCUCACUGGUCCAUUACUGACGCUGAGGUGCGAAAGCGUGGGGAGCAAACAGG
rnacentral:rRNA from 1 species